AAAAAAUUGUGACGUCCAGUUUACUUUCACAUACACGUGUGAAGCCGGGCGUGUCGUCAGUUUACUAUCUCAAGCGAUAUGACGACACGAGGCUCCUGGUCCCGAGACGAGAAUAAACACGUUGUUUUAAUAUGCCAAUGGCUAUGUUAUACAUAGUAAUUACAAGGGAUUAAAAAUAGAAACAAUGCACAAACACAAUACAAAACUAAAUAUUGAAGAAAGAAGACAUUGAAGAAGAAAAUACAUACGUAGUAUGCAUAGAAAAUACCCAAACCAAUACAAACGAUACAAUAUUAUCGCAAUUUUAAGCAGUCUAAAAAUAAUUAUGUC